GCCUGGCGCAGUGACGUAUGCCUGUAAUCCCAGCAUCUUGGGAGGCUGAGGCAGGAGGAUCAUAAAUUCAAAGCCAGCCUUGGCAACAGCAAAGCACUAAGCAACUCAGUGAGACCCUGUCUCUA
rnacentral:sRNA from 1 species